rnacentral:rRNA from 1 species
GACGAACGCUGGCGGCGUGCCUAAUACAUGCAAGUAGAACGCUGAAGGAGGAGCUUGCUUCUCUGGAUGAGUUGCGAACGGGUGAGUAACGCGUAGGUAACCUGCCUGGUAGCGGGGGAUAACUAUUGGAAACGAUAGCUAAUACCGCAUAAGAGUAGAUGUCGCAUGACAUUUGCUUAAAAGGUGCAAUUGCAUCACUACCAGAUGGACCUGCGUUGUAUUAGCUAGUUGGUGAGGUAACGGCUCACCAAGGCAACGAUACAUAGCCGACCUGAGAGGGUGAUCGGCCACACUGGGACUGAGACACGGCCCAGACUCCUACGGGAGGCAGCAGUAGGGAAUCUUCGGCAAUGGACGGAAGUCUGACCGAGCAACGCCGCGUGAGUGAAGAAGGUUUUCGGAUCGUAAAGCUCUGUUGUAAGGGAAGAACGAGUGUGAGAGUGGAAAGUUCACACUGUGACGGUAUCUUACCAGAAAGGGACGGCUAACUACGUG